GCUUAGAUAGUUCAGUAGGGAGAGCGUUAGACUGAAGAUCUAAAUGUCGCUGGUUCGAUCGCGGCUUGCGGCA
rnacentral:tRNA from 1 species